UACGAAGGGGGACUAGCGUUGUUCGGAAUCACUGGGCGUAAAGCGCACGUAGGCGGAUUUGUAAGUCAGGGGUGAAAUCCCGGGGCUCAACCUCGGAACUGCCUUUGAUACUGCGAAUCUUGAGUCCGAUAGAGGUGGGUGGAAUUCCUAGUGUAGAGGUGAAAUUCGUAGAUAUUAGGAAGAACACCAGUGGCGAAGGCGGCCCACUGGAUCGGUACUGACGCUGAGGUGCGAAAGCGUGGGGGAGCAAACAGG
rnacentral:rRNA from 1 species